UGGAGGAGCUAGAUUCUAGUUUAUAUUAGAUCUAUCUCAAAGAGAAGACAGGUGGAGCAAGUGUUCACUUACUUUCUCUCUUUUUUUUUGGAGGGUCCUGAGGAGUUAGGUUUUAUAGAUGAAAAAGGGUACUUGUAGUCUGAGGAAGUAUUUGCCAUUUUUUUCUCUACAAAGCCAUGGAGACGUGAUGUGCUCUGGUUGUUAGAGGAUAACAGCU
rnacentral:lncRNA from 1 species